GCAAAAAAUGUCAUAUUUUCAGAGGAUAGAGGUCGAUAUAUCAAACCAAUGCUGCCAAAGGGUCCUGUAAAGAGAUUAGCAGUUGAUGCUACCCUUAGAGCAGCUGCACCAUAUCAAAAAUUACGUAGAGAGAAGGACACUCAAAAAAGUAGGAAAGUUUUUGUUGAGAAAACUGAUAUGAGGGCAAAAAGAAUGGCAAGAAAAGCCGGAGCAUUGGUGAUACUUCCACUUGCAUCAACUACAAA
rnacentral:misc_RNA from 1 species